GACGUAGGGUGCGAGCGUUGUCCGGAUUAUUGGGCGUAAAGAGCUCGUAGGCGGCUCGUCGCGUCGACCGUGAAAACCCGCGGCUUAACUGCGGGCUUGCGGUUGAUACGGGCGGGCUAGAGUUCGGUAGGGGAGACUGGAAUUCCUGGUGUAGCGGUGAAAUGCGCAGAUAUCAGGAGGAACACCGGUGGCGAAGGCGGGUCUCUGGGCCGAUGACUGACGCUGAGGAGCGAAAGCGUGGGGAGCGAACAGG
rnacentral:rRNA from 1 species